CCAGGCGUGAGGCCAGGGGGAUGGGCGCAGCCUGCCCUGCCCCCAGCUGGCGGCCCCCCCGUCCAGGCAGGCACCAGGCGUGAGGCCAGGGGGAUGGGCGCAGCCUGCCCUGCCCCCAGCUGGGGGCCCCCCCGUCCAGGCAGGCACCAGGCGUGAGGCCAGGGGGAUGGGCGCAGCCUACCCUGCCCCCAGCUGGGGGCCCCCCCGUCCAGGCAGGCACCAGGCGUGAGGCCAGGGGGAUGGGCGCAGCCUGCCCUGCCCCCAGCUGGCGGUCCCCCCGUCCAGGCAGGCACCAGGCGUGAGGCCAGGGGGAUGGGCGCAGCCUGCCCUGCCCCCAGCUGGGGCCCCCCCGUCCAGGCAGGCACUAGGCGUGAGGCCAGGGGGAUGGGCGCAGCCUGCCCUGCCCCCAGCUGGCGGUCCCCCCGUCCAGGCAGGCACCAGGCAUGAGGCCAGGGGGAUGGGCGCAGCCUGCCCUGCCCCCAGCUGGGGGCCCCCCCGUCCAGGCAGGCACCAGGCGUGAGGCCAGGGGGAUGGGCGCAGCCUGCCCUGCCCCCCAGCUGGGGCCCCUCCCUCGUCCAUGCAGGCAUCAGGCGUGCAGCUUGGGGCAGCAACUCCCAAAGAAAGCUGGGGCCCUGGAAGAAGGAUAAAGGAGUUGGAGGCGCAAGUGGUGUUCUCAUCCAUCCUCCCCGUGGAAGGAAAAGGCCUAGGUAGGGAGCGUUGAAUCGUGGAAGUCAACGAAUGGCUACGCAGGUGGUGUCGGAGAGAAGGCUUUGGAUUCUUCGACCAUGGGAUGGUGUUCCAAGAAGAAGGAGUGCUAGGCAGAGACGGGCUCCACUUAACGAAGAGAGGGAAGAGCAUCUUCGUGAGCAGGCUGGCUAACCUAGUGAGGAGGGCUUUAAACUAGGUUCACCGGGGGAAGGAGACCAAAGCCCUGAGAUGUCCUGGCUUGUUCCACCGUCCUGGCUGAUGGUGCCGCCCAAGUAUGUGAAUGUUUCUAUGUUGGUGAGAACAUAAUCCACUAUCCAUACUGGCGAUGGUGAGGCAAUAUUAUGACCUCAUAAACCAGUCGGAGAACACUUCAAUCUCUCUUGUCACGUGAUUACAGACAUGAAAGUUGCGAUAUUACAACAGAAAAACUUCAAAACCAGACUCCAGCGAGAAACUGUUGAAUUGGAAUUCAUUUGCAAAUUGGAUACAAUUAACUUAGGCUUGAAUAGAGACUGGGAGUGGCUAAGUCAUUAUGCAAGGUAACCUAUUUCCCCUUGUUUUUUCCUACCACACCCCCACCCCCACCCCCCGUUCCUCAGACGUUCUUAUUAAACCCUGGAUUUGUGCUGGAAAUGGCCCACCUUGAUUAUCAUACACAUUGUAAGGAGAGUGAUCACUUUAGAUAAGCUAGUGGGUUUGUGUGUGUGGAAAAGGGGGAGGGGGGGAGAAAACCUGGAUUUGUGCUGGAAAUGGCCCACCUUGAUUAUCAUACACAUUGUAAGGAAGGUGAUCACUUUAGAUAAGCUAUUACCAGCAGGAGAGUGGGGUGGGGGGAGAGAAAACAUUUUGCAGUGGUAAACACCCAUUUUUUUCAUGGUUUGUAUGUAUAAAAGCAUCUUCUGUAUUUUCCACAGUAUGCAUCCGAUGAAGUGAGCUGUAGCUCACGAAAGCUUAUGCUCAAAUAAUUGGUUAGUCUCUAAGGUGCCACAAGUACUCCUUUUCUUUUUGCGAAUACAGAAUAACACGGCUGUUACUCUGAAACCUAUGAUCUUACACAAUACUUUGCUUGGCACAGAUAAAAGUGUGAUACCAUGCCAGUUAUUACAAUCACUGAGAGUUCCUUUCUUUGGUAUCUUCACUACAACCCCAUGGGUCCACUCAUCUGGCACUUUUUCCCUUUCCCAGACUGAUGUAAAUAGAGGGGCCAGGAUAGAUGCUCUUAAUUUAGGAUUUACCUUGAACAAUUCUGCAUUCAAGUUAUCCUUGCCAGGAGCUUUCCCAUUUUUUAAGGAUUUGAUGGCUUGAAUGAUCUCUUCCUUAGUUGAGGUGUCUGAUAUCAAGAUCUUCUUCUGCCUCCUGGAAGUUUGCUUCCUCUUUAGGUGGCUCCCUGUUCAGCAAUUCUUUGAAAUGCUCUGUCCAGUGCAUUUCUUGUUCUUUUUCGGUUGUUAGUUGGUGUCCUUAUUUGUUCCUGUAGAGUGUGUUUGUUGGUGUCUGUUGUUUACCACUGAUAAGCCACAUCGUUUUAUAGACGGUUCCUUGUUCACCAUGAGCAGUUGCAUCCUCUGCUCGUGUUGCCAGAUUAUCAAUAUAAUGCAGUUUGUCCACUCUCGCAAGGCAUUUGACCUCCCUGUGUGCAUUGCUAUACUGUUCAUGGUAUCUGUUCUUUAGCUUCUGGGAUUUUUGUGUCUAAAACUUUUUUCUUCAGGGCUCAUCUGAUUUCUCUGGCGUUCCAUGUGCUGGGUGUAA